rnacentral:rRNA from 1 species
AUGCAGGACGUUCUGUGCAGGAUACUUUCGUGCUUGUGCAUGAGGGACGCGGCUCGUGUGUCCUCCUCGUGUUCCGUCUUCCUACGGGCUUGGGGGAGGUACCCUCGUCUAACCUUCGACGAGGAUACGCUCCGUCUCAGACGACAGCACCCGGAACCGGAAGCAGCCGCUCCUCAUGAAGCCGGCGAGGACAACCUGAUGCCUCCCCCAAUCAUACUCGGACAGCAGCAGCAGCAAGACGACGUGCUCGUUGCGCUGCGGGAGCGAGACGAGCUCGCGAGGGGCUUUGUGCGCCACGUGGAUGCCGUCAUGUCGCGACGCCGCAGCGACGCGGCACUGGAUGCGCUGACCAUCAAGUUGGCCUACCUGCGGGAGCAGGACGCUCCCUGCGUCGACCGCUGGGUGCGCCUCGCCCUGACGUCGACGACCACCAGGCGCCUCAGGCUCGACUUCCUCCCGCACGGCUGCUACAACCCGGACAGGCUCCGGUACGAGCUACCCUGCUCGCUCCUCUCCGCCGGGACGGCAGCGGCCGGCGCGCUGGAGCACCUCUACCUCCGGAUGGGAAGCAUACGGGCCCCCAUGCCGGAGCUGGCCAGCUUGGUGACCCUGGUUCUGUCGAGGGUGCGCGUCACCGGGGAGGACCUUGGGCACUUGCUCUACUCGUGCCACAGACUGCAGAGCCUCAAGCUCAAGCGCUGCGAGGACCUGGCGUACCUCAAGGUGCCGCCUGAUCGUCUGAAGCAACUGAGGACUCUUGUGGUGAAAAGCUGCUGGUCGAUGAGGGAGAUGGACAUAUCGGGCUCCUCCGUCGAGUCCCUGCGGUUUGAAGGCCGACACAUGCCGGGAACCCUGCUUUGUGGGUCAGUUGGACCCGCCCUCAGGGUGACAAGUGCGGAGUUUGACCUCGAGCAACUGAUUGCCCCCGCCGAAUCUGAAGCCACCGAGUCAUCGCGGCUUCAGCUGUUAAGCCUAGCGCACCUCAUGCCGCGCCUGGAGACCUUAUCCUUGACCUUAGUACGCCACAUCAAGGUAGUUAUGACUUCCCCACACAGCAGCGGCAACAGGUUCCGUCAUCUGAAGCGUGUGAAACUCGAAUUCUACAUGCCGGGGCGAGAUGGAAGAGACGAUUUUCUCUUCCUCUAUUCAUUUCUCGACUCAGCGCCGAUAAUGGAAGCGCUUUCGUUGGAUGUACGUAGCAGCUAG